rnacentral:lncRNA from 1 species
AUUUAAAAGUUUAGAGUUGAAAAUAUCUAACCAAUGGGAAGCAAUCUAUAAGACAAGAAUGUCAGGUAGAAACCCAUUUCCUUUGAACUUUUAAGCAAGCAACAAGCAUAAUCAUCCAAGCAAUUAAUAUGAAGACCAAUGGCAUCAAAUAAAUAUAGCCAAAACAUCCAAGCAAGCACUCUAAAAGCAAGCAGUCUUCAUUGUCUUUCACAAGUAUCAGAUGAAUAUCCCUUGUAGCAAAC